AUUGAACGCUGGCGGCAGGCCUAACACAUGCAAGUCGAGCGGAUGAAGGGAGCUUGCUCCUGGAUUCAGCGGCGGCCGGGUGAGUAAUGCCUAGGAAUCUGCCUGGUAGUGGGGGAUAACGUCCGGAAACGGGCGCUAAUACCGCAUACGUCCUGAGGGAGCAAGUGGGGGAUCUUCGGACCUCACGCUAUCAGAUGAGCCUAGGUCGGAUUAGCUAGUUGGUGGGGUAAAGGCCUACCAAGGCGACGCUCCGUAACUGGUCUGAGAGGAUGACCAGUCCCACGGGAAGUGAGACACGGUCCAGACUCCUACGGGGAGCAGCAGUGGGGAAUAUUGGACAAUGGGCGAAAGCCUGAUCCAGCCAUGCCGCGUGUGUGAAGAAGGUCUUCGGAUUGUAAAGCACUUUAAGUUGGGAGGAAGGGAAGUAAGUUAAUACCUUGCUGUUUUGACGUUACCAACAGAAUAAGCACCGGCUAACUUCGUG
rnacentral:rRNA from 1 species